AUGGAGCCCUGCAAUGGUUACAUCCCUCUGAUGUCCCUCAUCUUCUCACAGAUUCCCAUGACCAGCGAAGCGCUUAUGGACUGUAGGAAGGGCUGUGUGACCUUUGAGGAUGUGGCCAUUUACUUUUCACAGGAGUGGGUGCUCCUUGAUGAGGCUCAGAGACACCUGUACCAUGAUGUGAUGCUGGAGAACUUUGCACUUAUAGCUUCAUUGGUUUGUUGGCAUGGGAUGGAGGAUGAAGAGGCACCUUUUGAACAGAGCGUUUCUGGAGAAGUUUUGUCAUGGGUCAGGACUCCAAAGGCAGGUCCACCCACCCAGAAGACUCACCCCUGUGAGAAAUGUGUCCCAAUCCUGAAAGACAUUUUGCACCUGGCUGAUCAACCUGGGUAGAAACUAUACUUGGAUGGAGCAUGUGCAAACCUACACCAGCUUCAGAAGCAUUACACUGCAGAGCAAAGGGAUGUAGAGAGGGCCUCAUUUGUUAAGAGCUGCAUAUUCCUGUGUCAGGGAAUCCCUUCACCUGUAGGAAGAUUGGAAAGGAGUUCCCAGCCACAUGGAGCUUUCCCCAGCACCAAGUCAUUUUCAACAGUGAGAAGCCAAACAAAAUCACCAAGUGUGGGGAGGCCUUUCAUAGUGGAAGAAGUCAUUACAAAUCACAUGAUGGGAAAGCCUCCAACCACAAACGAAGUCUUGUUUAUCACCCAAGAGUCUCCACUAGAAAAAGGGUUUAUGAGACCAUCAAAUAUGGGAAAGCUUUUCGCUGCAAGUACUCACUUGUUCAGCUCCAGAGAGUCCACACUGGAGAAAGGCCUUACAAGUGCAGUGAAUGUGGAAAAUCUUUUAGGCAAAGAGCCACCCUCAUUAUACACCAGAGAGUUCACACUGGAGAAAAGCCUUAUACGUGUGGUGAAUGUGGGAAAUCCUUUAGUCAAGGCUCCAACUUACUGAACACUGCAGAAUCCAUAGUGGAGAAAGGCCUUAUGAGUGUGAGGAAUGUGGGAAAGCCUUUGGGUGCAAAUCCAAUCUCAUAAGGCACCAGAGAACUCACACUGGAGAAAAGCCUUAUGAGUGCAGUAAAUGUGGAAAAUUCUUAAGACAAAGCUUCACCCUCAUUGAACAUCAGAGAAUUCACACCACAGUAAGGCCUUAUGUGUGUGUCCGGUGUAGGAAAUCCUUUAGCCAAAGAGCUACUCUCAUUAGACACCAGAGAGUUCACACUAGUGAAAGGUUUUAUGAGUGUGGGGAAUGUGGGAAAGCUUUUGGAUCCAAAUCCAAACUUGAUCGGCACAAUAGAAGUCACACUGGAGAAAGGCCUUUUGAGUGUGGCCAGUGUGGGAAAUGCUUUAGCAGAAGAGCUAUUUUCACUAAACACCAAAGAAUUCACACUGGAGAAAGGCCUUAUAAGUGUGGCGAAUGUGGGAAAUCCUUUAGUCGAAGCACCAGCCUUAUUCAGCACUGCAGCAUUCACACAGGAGCAAGGCCUCAUGAGUGUGGCCAAUGUGGAAAAUCCUUUAGGCAAAAAUCUGUUCUCAUUCAAUACCAGCUAGUUCACACUGGAGAAAGGCCUUAUGAAUGCAGCAAAUGUGGCAAAUCCUUUAGCCAAUGCUCCAGCCUCAAUCGACAUCAGCGGGUUCACACUGGAAUGAAGCCCUAUGAAUGCAACGCAUGUGGGAAGGCCUUUAGCCAGAGCUCAACCCUUAUUCGGCACUACCUCAUUCACACCGGGGAGAAACCAUACAAGUGCAUGGAGUGUGGGAAGGCCUUCAAACGCAGGUCCUACCUCAUGCAGCACCAUCCGAUUCACACUGGAGAGAAGCCCUACGAGUGUAGUCAGUGUCGAAAGGCCUUCACCCACCGCUCUACUUUUAUUCGGCAUAACAGGACCCACACCGGAGAAAAACCCUUUGAGUGCAAAGAAUGUGAGAAAUCAUUCAGCAACAGAGCACACCUGAUUCAGCACUACAUCAUCCACACUGGAGAAAAGCCCUACGAUUGCAUGGAGUGUGGGAAGGCCUUCAGAUGCAGCUCAGAACUCAUGCAGCACCAGCGGAUUCACACUGGGGAGAAGCCCUAUGAGUGUGCCCAGUGUGGGAAAGCCUUUCAUCGGAGCACCUACCUCAUUCAGCACUCCAUCAUCCACACGGGGGAGACGCCAUACAAGUGCCUCGAAUGUGGGAAGGCCUUCAAACGCAGGUCACACCUUCUGCAGCACCAGCGGGUUCAUACUUGA